rnacentral:lncRNA from 1 species
CCGCGCUCGAGAGAGCGCUUAUCCUUCGGUGUCAAUGACACCGGAGUUUUUGUGUCGACCUCCAUCGCUCUCUCUGAGGCGCUGGAGGACCGAGAGUUAGGCGCCGAGACACGUGCCUCGGGCCUUGGGGUUCGUUUGAUUUUAGGGCCCUGUGGGGCUGGUGUCUGCAGGGCCGUCGAAGAGGGUGGAGCAGUACUGACUGCUUCCACCACGGGGGCGGGAGGAGUCACUGCGGCACCACUGCGCGUGGGCUCGGAGGACUCCGGAGGCCUCUGUGACGCUGCCCCCGCCUGCGUCACUUCGGCAUAACUUCUUCGGGGAAGCAAGGGCAGGACCGCGAAUAAGCUGGGUGAUCUCCCUUGCAGUUAACACAAUGUGGCGAAGAAGUGCAAUUCUCUGAUUGGUGGUCGUUGGAGCUGCAUUUAGCACAAGUUGUUUGUCCUCGGCAUGCAUGUGAAGCAUGUCCAAAUUUUUGGCACUUAAAACACCGUCUGGGAUUCGGGAUAUACGGUCUCACAUUGACUUUGACAUAACCUGCAUCGAGUGAAGUAGGCAUUACGCUUGUUCCGAAGGAGUUCCUCGUCGCUUAAACCAAUGAAGUCUUCUUCAGAUAUUACUCCCCUGCUUGUAUUAAGUGUUCUGUGGGCUGAAACAGUCACUGUCGCUUUGCCAAUACUGGUAAGUUCAGAGAGCUUAUCUGCUUGAUCUUUGUUAUUCAGUUCUAGGAGGAGGUCCCCGCUAGACAUUUUGGAUGCUUUGUAUGUUGGUCCGAUUUUGUC